rnacentral:rRNA from 1 species
UAACACGUAUCCAACCUGCCGUCUACUCUUGGACAGCCUUCUGAAAGGAAGAUUAAUACAAGAUGGCAUCAUGAGUCCGCAUGUUCACAUGAUUAAAGGUAUUCCGGUAGACGAUGGGGAUGCGUUCCAUUAGAUAGUAGGCGGGGUAACGGCCCACCUAGUCUUCGAUGGAUAGGGGUUCUGAGAGGAAGGUCCCCCACAUUGGAACUGAGACACGGUCCAAACUCCUACGGGAGGCAGCAGUGAGGAAUAUUGGUCAAUGGGCGAGAGCCUGAACCAGCCAAGUAGCGUGAAGGAUGACUGCCCUAUGGGUUGUAAACUUCUUUUAUAAAGGANUAUNNUCGGGUAUGGAUACCCGUUUGCAUGUACUUUAUGAAUAAGGAUCGGCUAACUCCGUGCCAGCAGCCGCGGUAAUACGGAGGAUCCGAGCGUUAUCCGGAUUUAUUGGGUUUAAAGGGAGCGUAGAUGGAUGUUUAAGUCAGUUGUGAAAGUUUGCGGCUCAACCGUAAAAUUGCAGUUGAUACUGGAUAUCUUGAGUGCAGUUGAGGCAGGCGGAAUUCGUGGUGUAGCGGUGAAAUGCUUAGAUAUCACGAAGAACUCCGAUUGCGAAGGCAGCCUGCUAAGCUGCAACUGACAUUGAGGCUCGAAAGUGUGGGUAUCAAACAGGAUUAGAUACCCUGGUAGUCCACACGGUAAACGAUGAAUACUCGCUGU